UGUCAGUAGGAGUAAUUCAACCUUCGU
rnacentral:piRNA from 1 species